rnacentral:lncRNA from 1 species
AGAAAUGAUAAAUGUUUAUUGCUUCGUUGUAUGGCAAUGUACUUGUAAACGAAAUCACUGUAUUGUAUAGAAAAGAAGAGAAACAUGUUUUAAAGAAACCAACAAUUUUACAACAUUUUUUAAAGCAACUAACCACCAAUUAUAUUUAUUAGAUCUUCUGCGGCAGUCGUCUGCACACAAAAAAUACUUUCAACGUCAUUAGAUAAACAAGGUAUGUCAAUAAGCCAAAUACAUAAUCACUCGCGAAAAAGAAAGCAAAUAAAAUAAUCACAUGAUAAUAAUUGACUACUUGCAUGAAAUAAAGACUUGAAGCAAUCCAAGCAUUUAGCUACACAAAUCACCAUCAGAAGAAAGAAUCAUGCAACACAAUUAACUACUUGUAUAAGAAAUAAUGCGUAUGUUUCAAUUGUUUUCAAGAGAGGGCCGGUUCUUUUGAGCUGCUUCAGAAG